rnacentral:rRNA from 1 species
AUUGACCUAACUUUAGACACGCAGAGCAUAGCUAAACACAGAUAUAGCGUCUCCCUUACACUGAGAAGGUAUCCGUGCAAACCGGAUUGCCCUGAAACAACUACCCCCAGAGAGUAGCAAAAUACGAGGAUAUUUCCUCGUACUACCCCUAAGAAUUCCAAGAAAAUAUCCGUGUAAUCCGGAUUACUCUCGAGCCCAAUAGCUAGCCCAACCACCUAACACGAAUUAAUCAACAUUAAUAACCCCUCACGCAGGAAUUGACAUAAAACAAACCAUUUUUCCCUCUUAGUAUGGGAGACAGAAAAG